rnacentral:rRNA from 1 species
AGUGAACGCUGGCGGUAGGCCUAACACAUGCCAGUCGAACGGCAGCACAGUAAGAGCUUGCUCUUACGGGUGGCGAGUGGCGGACGGGUGAGGAAUACAUCGGAAUCUACUUUUUCGUGGGGGAUAACGUAGGGACACUUACGCUAAUACCGCAUACGACCUACGGGUGAAAGCAGGGGAUCUUCGGACCUUGCGCGAUUGAAUGAGCCGAUGUCGGAUUAGCUAGUUGGCGAGGUAAAGGCCCACCAAGGCGACGAUCCGUAGCUGGUCUGAGAGGAUGAUCAGCCACACUGGAACUGAGACACGGUCCAGACUCCUACGGGAGGCAGCAGUGGGGAAUAUUGGACAAUGGGCGCAAGCCUGAUCCAGCCAUACCGCGUGGGUGAAGAAGGCCUUCGGGUUGUAAAGCCCUUUUGUUGGGAAAGAAAAGCAGCAGGUUAAUACCCCGCUGUUCUGACGGUACCCAAAGAAUAAGCACCGGCUAACUUCGUG